rnacentral:rRNA from 1 species
CGCGACCCGUUCGGUGUCGGUCCGAGGAGACGUGUAAAAGUUCGACGGCGCGUGUCGAGUCGUUUCGGCGGCUAGGCGCGCGUCGUUGAGUCGCGUAUUCUGGCCGACUCGCCGGACGGUACGUGUAACGGUGGCCGCGGCGACCUAGCGUCGUCGUUGGUACCGGUCUGCGACGAAUCUUCGGGCCUCUUUCCGACCCGUCUUGAAACACGGACCAAGGAGUCUAACGUGCGCGCGAGUCGCGGGGUGUCGUGCAGUUGGCGGCGUUCUUUCGGGGGCGUCGUUGGCUGCUCGUUACAAUACGAAACCCGUCUCGUUUUACGAAAGGCGCAAUGAAAGUGAAUUUUGGGGAAGAUGACGUUACCGAGAUCACGUUCCGUGCUCUUGUAGCGCGGCCGGUCGUCCGCAUUCCCAGGGCGUUCCAACGGCCCGGCGGCGUUGCGGAUCGUCGUUCCUUCGGGGGCGGCGGUCGGGCGUCGUCGAACCGGAGCGCACCUAUAGCGUGCACGUUGGUACCCGAAAGAUGGUGAACUAUGCCCGGCCAGGAUGAAGUCAGGGGAAACCCUGAUGGAGGUCCGCAGCGAUUCUGACGUGCAAAUCG